CCUACGGGAGGCAGCAGUGGGGAAUAUUGCACAAUGGGGGAAACCCUGAUGCAGCGACGCCGCGUGAGUGAAGAAGUCUCUCGGUAUGUAAAGCUCUAUCAGCAGGGGAGAAAAUGAAGUUACCUGAAUAAGAAGCCCAGGCUAACUACGUGACAGCAGCCGCAGUAAUACGUUGGGGGCCAGCGUUAUCCGGAUUUAAUGGGUGUAAGGGGAGGGUAGACGGCGUUGAAAGUCCGGAGUGGAAGCCCAUGGCUAAACCGUGGUACUGCUCUGGAAACUGUGGAGCUUGAGAGCAGGAGCGGUAGGCGGAAUGCCUAGUGUAGCGGUGAAAUGCGUAGAUAUUAGGAGGAACACCGGCGGCGAAGGCGGCCUGCUGGACCGUAACUGACGUUGAGGCUCGAAAGCGUGGGGAGCAAACAGGAUUAGAUACCCGGGUAGUC
rnacentral:rRNA from 1 species